AUACGGAGGAUGCAAGCGUUAUCCGGAUUUAUUGGGUUUAAAGGGUGCGUAGGCGGUUUGCUAAGCGGGAGGUGAAAUGCCGGCGCUCAACGUCGGAAGUGCCUCCCGAACUGGUGGACUGGAAUGACUCUGCCGUGGGAGGAAUGUGUAGUGUAGCGGUGAAAUGCUUAGAGAUUACACAGAACACCGAUUGCGAAGGCAUCUCACGAAGGGUUGAUUGACGCUGAGGCACGAAAGCGUGGGGAUCAAACAGGAUUAGAUACCCUGGUAGUCCACGCAGUAAACGAUGAUGGCUAACCGCUGGUUUUUUCGGAUCAGUGGCCAAGCGAAAGCGAUAAGCCAUCCACCUGGGGAGUACGACCGCAAGGUUGAAACUCAAAUGAAUUGACGG
rnacentral:rRNA from 1 species